rnacentral:rRNA from 1 species
ACAAGCCUGAGAAACGGCUAGUAGGACUAAGGUCUGCAGCAGGCGCGAAACUUACACAAUGCUAGAUUACAAUUAGCGAUGUAGUGAAGAAAAAUAACGAUGUACUUCCAUUUAAACAUGGUAGUACAAUUGGAAUGAGACGACUCUAAACCAGUUAGUCGAGUAACAAAUGGAGGGCAAGUCUGGUGCCAGCAGCCGCGGUAAUUCCAGCUCCAUUAGCAUACAUUAAAGUUGUUGCGGUUAAAAAGCUCGUAGUUGAAUUUCGCGUGGGCUCUAUUGGGGCGCAGCCGUCAAGGCGCCGCGGCAACCCUAACCGGUUCCCGGCGCUGGCUGUCGUCUUCCACUAGGAGCCCACUGUUUCGUCACUUAAUCGAGUGCGAAGCGGGCUGGAACGAGGCUUCACGCUCCGGCGUGGCCUGUUACAGCAAGUUUACCUUGAGAAAAUUAGAGUGCUCACAGCAGGCAGUUGGGAGGUAAAAGUCCCUUUAUGCUUGAAUAAUGUUGCAUGGAAUAAUAGAAUACGGCCUCGGUUCUAUUCUGUUGGUCUUAUAGAACAACAAACAAGUUGGUUAGGGCGACCAAAAGUCCUCUUUGAGUGUGGUUUCGCGCAGACUCUUGCCGGAGGCAUCUAUGCGCCAGUGUGUUGCCUGGGCCCUCAAAAGCUCAGCGCCGCCUGGCGCUAGUGUCGACGCUCCAGCCUGCCGUCACCAUCAAAAGCACUCCUAGAGCGGCUAGCUCUUCAACCAACUGAGGCAAUGGUUAAAAGAAAUAGUCGCGGCGGCAUCAGUACUGCAUCGUGAGAG